rnacentral:tRNA from 1 species
GGCAACGUAGCUCAGAGGCAGAGCAGGGGACUCAUAAGCCCUUGGUCGGUGGUUCGACUCCACCCGUUGCCA